AGCUCUGGCAUGUUUUUGGUAAUUUCUGCAACUGUAUUUCUGAGUUUCUGGAGCUGUAUCUUUGCUUCCUUGUUUUAAACAGCAUGACUGGAUCCAGUAAUUGUAAUGCUUGUUAGGUUGUGCGUUUAGUUCAGUUCCACAAACAUUAAGCACCCACUGUGUACCAGGGUCCGUGCCAAGCCCAUGUAUUGAGAUGAUGAAUGGAAUUAUUUAGAUGUAAGGUAGAAUAUAUGUGUGAUCAUUUCCUCUGAAUAUACUAAGGCUUUAGCCUUCUGUAUAUUUGUAAGACAUAUUUUACAUGUACACUUUUUUGAAUGAUCAUCAAAUGUGGGAGCAAAGGGCCAGUUCAAUUCUCUGAAACUUUAAUUCUGAGGUCCUUACUUCCUUCAGCCUUCAGUCGAUAAAAAUAAAAUGCUUUAAGCUCUUUUGUCUUGGACAUUUGAAGGCAGCACAAGCUAUUAACACAAUGAUGUUGUUUCCAGUGUACAGCACUAUUAAUUGGGUCUUUGUAAUUUUCUCUAUAGGCCAAAGCUUGAUUUGAGUGUCAGCAAGUUAAAACUCAGGCACAUCCAUCUUUCCUGAGGCUCACUCUGAUUGCAGAGGUUGGGGAAGAGAUACUAGAUGGAAGCCCUUCAGGAGGCCCUUGCCAUGAUCCAGGUACAACCCAAAUACAUUCUUCACAUUUCUCUGACUUCCAAGGUGCACUUAUGUGCUUGAGGAACUUUAGAGAGUCCCAGCAUUUUGAUGAUGAACUUCAUGAGUUACUUUGUGGGGAUGCAAUGAAAGGGAAUUUUUUUUCUUUCUCUCUCUCUGUUUCUUUUUUAAUCUGAUUGAGGAGAGACAUAGGGACUGGAAGACAUUCACAUGGCUAUAAAUAAAAGUCAAGAUACAAUUGUUCAGGUAAAAACAAA
rnacentral:lncRNA from 1 species